GACCUCCCCAAGUCUGGACGCCUGAGGGGGCAUCCCGCCCCGCCUCCUCACAGCUUGGGGAGUGGCUUGCAUUCAAAAGUUGUCGGUUUCUGGUCCUUGAAAUUGGGGUGGGGGUAGGGGAUGGUUAUCAUAUGUUGUUUGGGGGCCCCCAGGACCCAGCCUUUCCAGGCCCGGCUUCCGAACCUGAGUGCCAAAUUGCUGGCUUUCCCUUCUACCCUCUCCACUCCUCCAGUGUCCGAGUUGGAGAGUGCUCUGCAGAUGGAGCCAGCUGCCUUCCAGGCUUUAUAUUCUGCUGAGAAGCCAAAGCUGGAAGAUGAGCAUCUCAUUUUCUUCUGUCAGAUGGGCAAGCGGGGCCUCCAGGCCACGCAGCUGGCCCGGAGUCUUGGAUACACUGGGGCUCGCAACUACGCUGGAGCCUAUAGAGAAUGGUUGGAGAAAGAGAGUUAGGCAGGAGGCAGCUUACUGAUUGCCACCCCCUGGCCCCUUAAUGGCCACCUUAACUAAGGGUGUGAACGGGCUGACUUGGUGAAUUGGGCAACUCCUUAUAGUGUUGUGCACACAAAAGCAUCAAAUAAAGAACAUUUAAUCAAA
rnacentral:sRNA from 1 species